AUUGAACGCUGGCGGCAGGCUUAACACAUGCAAGUCGAGCGGGGUGAGGUGCUUCGGUACUGAUCCUAGCGGCGGACGGGUGAGUAAUGCUUAGGAAUCUACCAUUUAGUGGGGGACAACAUUCCGAAAGGAAUGCUAAUACCGCAUACGUCCUACGGGAGAAAGCAGGGGAUCUUCGGACCUUGCGCUAAAUGAUGAGCCUAAGUCGGAUUAGCUAGUUGGUGGGGUAAAGGCCUACCAAGGCGACGAUCUGUAGCGGGUCUGAGAGGAUGAUCCGCCACACUGGGACUGAGACACGGCCCAGACUCCUACGGGAGGCAGCAGUGGGGAAUAUUGGACAAUGGGCGGAAGCCUGAUCCAGCCAUGCCGCGUGUGUGAAGAAGGCCUUUUGGUUGUAAAGCACUUUAAGCGAGGAGGAGGCUACCUGGAUUAAUACUCUAGGAUAGUGGACGUUACUCGCAGAAUAAGCACCGGCUAACUCUGUGCCAGCAGCCGAGUAACAC
rnacentral:rRNA from 1 species